rnacentral:rRNA from 1 species
GGGUCCCUACGGGACGCAGCAGUGAGGAAUAUUGGUCAAUGGCCGAGAGGCUGAACCAGCCAAGUCGCGUGAGGGAAGAAUGUCCUAUGGAUUGUAAACCCCUUUUGUCAGGGAGCAAAGUCACCCACGUGUGGGUGUUGGAGAGUACCUGAAGAAAAAGCAUCGGCUAACUCCGUGCCAGCAGCCGCGGUAAUACGGAGGAUGCGAGCGUUAUCCGGAUUUAUUGGGUUUAAAGGGUGCGUAGGCGGGUUAUCAAGUCAGCGGUGAAAUCGUGGAGCCCAACUCCAUCCAGCCGUUGAAACUGA